rnacentral:rRNA from 1 species
GAGUUUGAUCAUGGCUCAGAUUGAACGCUGGCGGCAGGCCUAACACAUGCAAGUCGAGCGGAUGACGGGAGCUUGCUCCUUGAUUCAGCGGCGGACGGGUGAGUAAUGCCUAGGAAUCUGCCUGGUAGUGGGGGACAGCGUUUCGAAAGGAACGCUAAUACCGCAUACGUCCUACGGGAGAAAGCAGGGGACCUUCGGGCCUUGCGCUAUCAGAUGAGCCUAGGUCGGAUUAGCUAGUUGGUGGGGUAAUGGCUCACCAAGGCGACGAUCCGUAACUGGUCUGAGAGGAUGAUCAGUCACACUGGAACUGAGACACGGUCCAGACUCCUACGGGAGGCAGCAGUGGGGAAUAUUGGACAAUGGGCGAAAGCCUGAUCCAGCCAUGCCGCGUGUGUGAAGAAGGUCUUCGGAUUGUAAAGCACUUUAAGUUGGGUAGGAAGGGCGAGUAAGUUAAUAACCUUGCUGUUUUGUACGUUACCGUAC